GACUGCAUGACUGGCGGAAAGUAGGAUUACCUACGGGGAGUGCAGUAUAUCAUGUGCCGACCGCCUGGGCAGCCU
rnacentral:ncRNA from 1 species